rnacentral:rRNA from 1 species
GAUGAACGCUGGCGGCGUGCCUAAUACAUGCAAGUCGAGCGAACAGACGAGGAGCUUGCUCCUCUGACGUUAGCGGCGGACGGGUGAGUAACACGUGGAUAACCUACCUAUAAGACUGGGAUAACUUCGGGAAACCGGAGCUAAUGCCGGAUAAUAUAUUGAACCGCAUGGUUCAAUAGUGAAAGACGGUUUUGCUGUCACUUAUAGAUGGAUCCGCGCCGCAUUAGCUAGUUGGUAAGGUAACGGCUUACCAAGGCAACGAUGCGUAGCCGACCUGAGAGGGUGAUCGGCCACACUGGAACUGAGACACGGUCCAGACUCCUACGGGAGGCAGCAGUAGGGCAUCUUCCGCAAUGGGCGAAAGCCUGACGGAGCAACGCCGCGUGAGUGAUGAAGGUCUUCGGAUCGUAAAACUCUGUUAUUAGGGAAGAACAAAUGUGUAAGUAACUAUGCACGUCUUGACGGUACCUAAUCAGAGAGCCACGGCUAACUACGUG